UGACUGCGUACCUUUUGUAUAAUGGGUCAGCGACUUAUAUUCUGUAGCAAGGUUAACCGUAUAGGGGAGCCGGAGGGAAACCGAGUCUUAAUUGGGCGUUAAGUUGCAGGGUAUAGACCCGAAACCCGGUGAUCUAGCCAUGGGCAGGUUGAAGGUUGGGUAACACUAACUGGAGGACCGAACCGACUAAUGUUGAAAAAUUAGCGGAUGACCUGUGGCUGGGGGUGAAAGGCCAAUCAAACCGGGAGAUAGCUGGUUCUCCCCGAAAGCUAUUUAGGUAGCGCCUCGUGAAUUCAUCUCCGGGGGUAGAGCACUGUUUCGGCUAGGGGGCCAUCCCGGCUUACCAACCCGAUGCAAACUGCGAAUACCGGAGAAUGUUAUCACGGGAGACACACGGCGGGUGCUAACGUCCGUCGUGAAGAGGGAAACAACCCAGACCGCCAGCUAAGGUCCCAAAGUCAUGGUUAAGUGGGAAACGAUGUGGGAAGGCCCAGACAGCCAGGAUGUUGGCUUAGAAGCAGCCAUCAUUUAAAGAAAGCGUAAUAGCUCACUGGUCGAGUCGGCCUGCGCGGAAGAUGUAACGGGGCUAAACCAUGCACCGAAGCUGCGGCAGCGACGCUGAUGCGUUGUUGGGUAGGGGAGCGUUCUGUAAGCCUGCGAAGGUGGCCUGUGAGGGUUGCUGGAGGUAUCAGAAGUGCGAAUGCUGACAUAAGUAACGAUAAAGCGGGUGAAAAGCCCGCUCGCCGGAAGACCAAGGGUUCCUGUCCAACGUUAAUCGGGGCAGGGUGAGUCGACCCCUAAGGCGAGGCCGAAAGGCGUAGUCGAUGGGAAACGGGUUAAUAUUCCCGUACUUGGUGUUACUGCGAAGGGGGGACGGAGAAGGCUAUGUUGGCCGGGCGACGGUUGUCCCGGUUUAAGCGUGUAGGUGUGUGUUCCAGGUAAAUCCGGUUCACUUUAACACUGAGGCGUGAUGACGAGGCACUACGGUGCUGAAGCAACAAAUGCCCUGCUUCCAGGAAAAGCCUCUAAGCAUCAGGUAACAUCAAAUCGUACCCCAAACCGACACAGGUGGUCAGGUAGAGAAUACCAAGGCGCUUGAGAGAACUCGGGUGAAGGAACUAGGCAAAAUGGUGCCGUAACUUCGGGAGAAGGCACGCUGACACGUAGGUGAAGUGAUUUACUCAUGGAGCUGAAGUCAGUCGAAGAUACCAGCUGGCUGCAACUGUUUAUUAAAAACACAGCACUGUGCAAACACGAAAGUGGACGUAUACGGUGUGACGCCUGCCCGGUGCCGGAAGGUUAAUUGAUGGGGUCAGCGCAAGCGAAGCUCCUGAUCGAAGCCCCGGUAAACGGCGGCCGUAACUAUAACGGUCCUAAGGUAGCGAAAUUCCUUGUCGGGUAAGUUCCGACCUGCACGAAUGGCGUAAUGAUGGCCAGGCUGUCUCCACCCGAGACUCAGUGAAAUUGAACUCGCUGUGAAGAUGCAGUGUACCCGCGGCAAGACGGAAAGACCCCGUGAACCUUUACUAUAGCUUGACACUGAACAUUGAGCCUUGAUGUGUAGGAUAGGUGGGAGGCUUUGAAGUGUGGACGCCAGUCUGCAUGGAGCCGACCUUGAAAUACCACCCUUUAAUGUUUGAUGUUCUAACGUGGACCCGUGAUCCGGGUUGCGGACAGUGUCUGGUGGGUAGUUUGACUGGGGCGGUCUCCUCCUAAAGAGUAACGGAGGAGCACGAAGGUUGGCUAAUCCUGGUCGGACAUCAGGAGGUUAGUGCAAUGGCAUAAGCCAGCUUGACUGCGAGCGUGACGGCGCGAGCAGGUGCGAAAGCAGGUCAUAGUGAUCCGGUGGUUCUGAAUGGAAGGGCCAUCGCUCAACGGAUAAAAGGUACUCCGGGGAUAACAGGCUGAUACCGCCCAAGAGUUCAUAUCGACGGCGGUGUUUGGCACCUCGAUGUCGGCUCAUCACAUCCUGGGGCUGAAGUAGGUCCCAAGGGUAUGGCUGUUCGCCAUUUAAAGUGGUACGCGAGCUGGGUUUAGAACGUCGUGAGACAGUUCGGUCCCUAUCUGCCGUGGGCGCUGGAGAACUGAGGGGGGCUGCUCCUAGUACGAGAGGACCGGAGUGGACGCAUCACUGGUGUUCGGGUUGUCAUGCCAAUGGCACUGCCCGGUAGCUAAAUGCGGAAGAGAUAAGUGCUGAAAGCAUCUAAGCACGAAACUUGCCCCGAGAUGAGUUCU
rnacentral:rRNA from 1 species